rnacentral:tRNA from 1 species
AUUUAUAUAGUUUAAAAAAAAAAACUUUACAUUUUCAAUGUAAAAAUAAAAUUUCAUAUUUUUAUAAAUA